AUGGAGAGGAGACGCCGGGAGCUGCCCAUACGUUUCUUUGCCUCCAACGGAGCUGCGGGAGCCGUCCCGUCGACAGCCAAGCUGGCCGCCGUGCCCAGCGCGAGGAGCCGCGGGAGCUGUCGCGUCGCACAGCCCAGCCAGCCGCCAUGGCUAGCGCGAGACGCGGCCACUGCAGGCUGGCGCGGAGGCAUCGUCCGUUCCGUCCAAUUCCACCCGCUUGUCGACGCGGCCGGAGACUUGCGGAAGAUGCGCCGCUGCACGGCUUCUGAAGAUCGGCGGGCACGGAUUCCCGCGAGUCUGCGGCUCCCAUGGCCAGGGAGGCAGCAGCCACUCGCCGCCGCGUGGCUCCGAUGGCCAGCUCUCCGGUGCGCCGCCGCGUGGCCGCCACGCGACCUCGCCUGUGCGGACAACAUCGUGGAGCCGGCGAGCUGGCAUCUAGUGGGUCCGUGUCGCAGGGGAAGGAUGGGGAAUGCGGGGCGACUUGGGAGGCGGCAGCCGUCGAGACCGCCGGAAUACCUGCCGUCGGGAGAGAGAGAUGAGGAGGAAGAAGAAGAGCUCAUAAACAAGGGUAUAAUCUGGAGGGUUGGAGAUGGGGCGAAUAUCAGGAUUUGGGAAGAUCUAUGGAUCCCGAGGGCUUGGUCGAGUAGAGUUAUUACGCCUAGAGGAGGAAGUUUACUAACCAGGGUGUCGGAACUAAUUGAUCCGGGUACCGGCCAAUGGGAUACGGAGCUUGUUCAAGACAAUUUCUGGGAGGAAGACGCUGAGCUGAUUCUUCAGAUGCCACUACGAGAUGGUGCGGUCGACUUUGCGGCAUGGCAUUACGACUCCAAAGGGCUCUUCUCAGUUAAACAAGCAUACAAACUAAGCAUAGCCCUUGUGGAAGCCGAUGAGGGACAAGCUGGGGAGGGCCAGCACGAGGCUGACUCGCUGAAUGAGGGGGGUCAGGACAAGUGGAAGAGAAUUUGGCGUAUGGCCUGCCCGGGGAAAAUCAAGCACUUUGGGUGGCGAUUGGCGCACAACACUUUAGCCACCAAGGAUAUCUUAUGUAGGAGGGGCAUGACUAUUGAGAAUCACAAGUGCUUCAUGUGCAACUCCGGAAACGAAUCAGGAUCGGAUGCUGAUUGUCAUCAUGUGGUGGCAAUGGUGGACGCAAGAAACAAAGUGAGGGAGGGCGAGAAACCGCUGGAGCAUGGUCAAUUCGCCUGUAGGGCUGCAUGCACUUUGGAGGAGUAUCAGGGUUAUUAUUGCAAAACAGGCAAACCACAUGCAACACCGCAGCUCUGGCGCCCGCCACCAACCGACAUCCUCAAAUUCAAUGUUGAUGGAGACCACAUCCCUGGCGAACAGACUGGUGCAUGGGGUGUAAUAGUGCGGGACAGAGAAGGGGCGAUGGUGGCAGCUCGUUCGGGUCGAAGCGAUCAUGUCGCUGAUGCUUUUGGCGCGGAGCUGCUCGUCGUCCCAAAAGCGAUUGAUAUUGCUUCAGAGCUGGGUGUAGUGCGCCUAAUUGUCGAAACUGAUGCUCUUUUAGUGGAACAAGCCCUUAACAGAAGAGGUCUGGACUUAUCAAAGCAGGCACAGUUGAUUGAGGAUCUCAAGCUUCAAAUGAAUCUCUGGUUCGCCUCGUGCGAUGUGCUCCAUUGUAGACGGGAGGCAAAUGUGCCAGCCCACCAGUUAGCCAAGCUAGGGUUAUCUCUCCCCACUGGAGGAGUGCGUGUAUCUGAUGAUGAUGUUCCAGCUCUUGUAGCUGACGCUGGCAACUCCGGUCUCGGCGACCCGGCAGUUGUGUCUCUUCCAUCUCGCCUGGCUCAUCGAUGUCCCGAUGGCUACGGCCACGGCAACAUGAAUCUGCGUCCCUCCAGUCCCUGCUUGCCGGCAUUGCUAAUCGCCAUCGCCCACCCCCUGGUUAGCUUCGCCGCCUGCCCUACCCUGCACGCCUCAAAGCCCUCCCUUUUUCCAGAUCCAACGCUUGUGGGUCCGAAGGCGGUGCUACCCUUCAACGGCAAGUGCAGCCCCGCUAACCCCCUUCCGACAUGGGAGAAAUCAUUGCUUGGCUUGCCAGAGCUGGCAGCGGCGGCGUCUGCGGAUGUCGUUUCCUUCUUGGAGGCGCUGUCAAGGACCUCGACUGUGCCCCUCUUCGAGCUCAAGGGAAACCCUAGCUCUGGUUCCUCAAGACCGAAUGGUGAUGGUGUCUCGGUGUGGACUUCCUUCUUGAAGGUGGUACUAAUCUGGGUGCGCACGUCCUUGUGGAAGUUCCUUCCGUCGCUCGGAUGGGCCUGGCUUGGCGGCGCGUGGACUAGAGAGAAGAAGAGAGGGGGGUCAGAGAGAGAGAAGAGAAGGCGCGGGAGGCUGGGCGUGGACGGACGAGGAGAGGAGCCAGGGAGGAAAAGGGGGUGCCUGACCGCGCAGGAGAUCGGCCUCCGCUGCGGGAGGGCGCUAGGAGUGGCGGGGCAGCGGCGCGAGGAACGACGAGAUGGUGGCGCGGUCUACCUCGCCGUCUAG
rnacentral:rRNA from 1 species